rnacentral:rRNA from 1 species
AUUGAACGCUGGCGGCAUGCUUUACACAUGCAAGUCGAACGGCAGCGCGGGUUUUUGCCUGGGGGCGCGAGUCGCACGGGUGUGAGUAACACCUGAACACGCCUCCUAUUGGGGGAUAGAGCCGCGAGAACCCGGGUUAUAUCCCACACAAGCUGAGCGUGAGAGAGGGGGGUCUUUUGACCUCUCGCGCUUUGGGCGUGGGAUGGCGGAUUAGCUAGUUGGUGGGGUAAAGGCCUACCAAGGCGACGAUCUGUAGCUGGUCUGAGAGGACGACCAGCCACACUGGGACUGAGACACGGCCCAGACUCCUACGGGAGGCAGCAGUGGGGAAUUUUGGACAAUGGGCGAAAGCCUGAUCCAGCAAUGCCGCGUGUGUGAUGAAGGCCUUCGGGUUGUAAAGCACUUUUGGCGGGAACGAAAAGCUCUGUGCUAAUACGACGGUUGGAUGACGGUACCGGCAGAAUAAGCACCGGCUAACUACGUG